rnacentral:rRNA from 1 species
CCUACGUGUGGCAGCAGUGGGGAAUAUUGCACAAUGGGGGAAACCCUGAUGCAGCGACGCCGCGUGAAGGAAGAAGUAUUUCGGUAUGUAAACUUCUAUCAGCAGGGAAGAAAAUGACGGUACCUGACUAAGAAGCCCCGGCUAACUACGUGCCAGCAGCCGCGGUAAUACGUAGGGGUCAAGCGUUAUCCGGAUUUACUGGGUUUAAAGGGAUCGUAGGCGGUUGUGCAAGUCAGGAGUGAAAGCCCAGGGCUCAACCACGGGACUGCUUUUGAAGCUGUUCAACUUGAGUGCAGGAGAGGUAAGUGGAAUUCCUAGUGUAGCGGUGAAAUGCGUAGAUAUUAGGAGGAACACCAGUGGCGAAGGCGGCUUACUGGACUGUAAAUGACGCUGAGGCUCGAAAGCGUGGGGAGCAAACAGGAUUAGAUACCCGAGUAGUC